rnacentral:rRNA from 1 species
GUAUUUUGACUAUACAAAGGUAUUGUAAUAAGACUUUAAUUGAGUGCUAAAAGAAUGGAGUUUCAAAAAAAGUCUAUCUUGAAUUCAAAAAUUGAAUUUAUUUUUAUUUGUGAAGAAACAAUAAUUAAAAUUAAGGACAAGAAGACCCUAAGAAUUUUUAAUUUUGUAUAUAUAUAUUUAUAUAUACAAAAUUUUAAUUGGGGCGAUUAAAAAAUAUAGUUAACUUUUAAUUUUAAAAAAUGAUCCAUUAUUAGUGAUUUAAUGUAAAAAAUACUCUAGGGAUAACAGCGUAAUAA